UUCACCACCCUCCUGCCACACUUUUGACAGUCAGCUGUGGUUUUCUCAACUACCCUUCCGUGGCCCCCUUUUGUGCUGCCACACACCCAUGCUGCUCGCUGUGGCUUCUUUCCUGCUGUCAAACAAAGUGCCUCCUUCCUUCCUUCCUUCCUCUCUCCCUCCCUCCCUCCCUUCCUUCCUCUCCUCUCCUUCCCUUAGUUUCCUGCUUGCUUUGGAGCAGCCGUAACUUUCAGGAACAUAUGCAGCCAAAUUGCAAACUGCCCACCGGCAAUUACCUGCUCCCAGCACUGGACACCUCCUGCUAAUUAUUUUCCAAGAGCCAGAUGGUGCUGUCAUAAAACACUAGCCUUCCAUGUGCACAUGCAUACGUAUGUGCACAAAGUGCAAAAGGAAUGGGCAGAUUUGCCUUGCCGGAGCCCAGGGAUUAGAAAUCAAGAUCCUCACCAAUUAAUUGGUAAUUACUUUGUCUGAAAAAUAAACAUUCUGGUAAAUACAAGCCAUUGCACUUUGGUGGCAAGGAAUCAGGCAGCGCCAGGUGCGAUCACGCGCAUGGCAGGCGUCCCUGACUGCAGAGGCUGCCCUUAGAAGCAAGAGUCCGGCCGCUCAUGGAGCAAGAACAGCCACUCGUGAAGGCAAAGAGGUCAAGCGGCCAGACGACUAACAAGACGAAGCUCCCUCUCCUUGCUAGCCUGGGGCGACGUUGAGCCAGUCACAACUCACAUCCCAUCCAGCUGCAGAUUAAGAGGACGGAGGGUCUCUGAAGCUCAGCACUGAUGAGGAAGACACCAGAGUGGGCACAUCCCAGACCACCUGAGCACCACGGACAGAGACGUGGGGCUCCUUCUGAGAUGCCUGCAUGGGCACUGCCGGUGGGCGACGCGUGCAAAUCGCCCACCGGACGUUUAGACUUUCCCCAGAACAAACGGGAAGCAGAGUGGCCUCCUCUGGACUCCGGCCUUAUCUGGGACGGCAUGGAAAGAGAAAUCUUUGCACCGCUUCAACGCCUCGGAGGCAAAGAUCGGCUUUUCCUGAAUGACUGACUGGUGGUCCGAGAGGGGUUUUCAAUGGACUGUUGUGCUCUGUGGCUUCAAAUGUGCUCUAAUAUUGAUCUUAGUGAUCAUUUUAAUAUAAUAUCUCUUUAAUUCUUUUUCAAUAUUUGUAUACUUACUGUUUUAGCUGUCGAGUACUGUUUCAAUGAUGCAAGCUUCCUGGGGUCCCUUUGGGGAGAAAGGUGGCAUAGAAAGACUUUAAAUAGCUAGUCUUGGGAGAGUGGGAGGGGUGGCCCUCAGGGACCGCUGCGCCUCCAUGCUGGGCUGUUCACAGGCUUCAUUUCUAUCCUGUUUUUGUUUUUUGUUUUUUGUUUUGGUCCGGGGAGUCCCAGGUGGCGCCAUCAGCUCUUGCCUUGCCUGUUUUACCCUCGUGGUGAUCCUGUGCAGUAAAUCAGACUCAGAAGCAGAGCUUCCCUGAGAGGGUUCAGGGUUCUGUGGGUCCUUGAACCCAGGCUUCUACAGUCCAGCACCCUUACCCAAAACACACACACACACACCCCAUGGGCUCCGACCACAGGCCAUGUCAUCCUUCUGGAGGUCAAAUGGCAGCUGGGUGAGGGCCCUGACGCCAUUCCCCUUACUUCCUCCCCACCUCCUGCUUACAUGGCAAUCCCUCUGCUGAUGGUGGAGCUUGCCCGCUGAAAGGUGUGCACAGUGACAGGGGAGGGAGCCUGGCCUUCUCCAGGCUGGAGUGGAGAACGGCUUGGUUGUAAUCCUGUCUCUUUGUGGGACACGCUUGGAUGAGUCUGUCACCCCUCAUCAGCUGCCAGCCCUCAGAGCUCUCUUCUGUCUGACUGUCAGAGCAAAUCCUCCUUACUCUGAGCCAUCAGGCGCGCUCCUACAGGCAUCACAGCACCCUGAGAGAUUCUGAGGUGCCCUCUCA
ensembl:lncRNA